rnacentral:rRNA from 1 species
UACGAAGGGGGCGAGCGUUGUUCGGAAUUACUGGGCGUAAAGGGCGCGUAGGUGGCUUGGCAAGUUGGGUGUGAAAGCCCAGGGCUCAACCCUGGAAUUGCAUUCAAGACUGCUUUGCUUGAAUUCGGUAGAGGUUGGUGGAAUUCCCAGUGUAGAGGUGAAAUUCGUAGAGAUUGGGAAGAGCACCCGUGGCGAAGGCGGCCAACUGGACCGCCAUUGACACUGAGGCGCGAAAGCGUGGGGAUCAAACAGG